rnacentral:tRNA from 2 species
GCCCGGGUGGUGAAAUUGGUAGACACAAGGGACUUAAAAUCCCUCGGGUGAAUAACCCGUGCCGGUUCGACUCCGGCCCCGGGCACCA